rnacentral:rRNA from 1 species
UACGAAGGGGGCAAGCGUUGUUCGGAAUUACUGGGCGUAAAGGGCGCGUAGGCGGUUUGCUAAGUUGGAUGUGAAAACUCUGGGCUUAACCCAGAGCCUGCAUCCAAAACUGGCAAACUUGAGUACUGGAGGGGAAAGCGGAAUUCCUGGUGUAGCGGUGAAAUGCGUAGAUAUCAGGAGGAACACCGGUGGCGAAGGCGGCUUUCUGGACAGUAACUGACGCUGGAGGCGACGAAAGCUAGGGGAGCAAACAGG